CUGAAGUUCAGAAGGAAAAACCAAACUCAAAUUCAAAGAAAAGGAGUUACAGUGUGAUGAACAAUGAAGGAGAGGGAAAUGAAUUUGUGAGCCAGAUGGCAAAUGAAAUUUCGGGAAAACCCAGUGAACCUGCUUGUCAACAAGAAAGUUCUAGUAAAUCCCCUUUGCAAACUUCAUAGACUAGAGCCCUUAUCUGAAACCAGCAAUGGAUUUCCGAAGCAACAUUGAAUCCAGUUAUUCCCCAACAUUUCAUUUGUCAUCAGAUAAUACUAACCUGACAUUGUUAGUACUUCCUGGAAGUGGAUGUAGUCGCUAAUAUUUGAAGUUUUUUAGUUGCAUGACGGACCUUCGUGUUUACACUUGGCAUUUGCCUAUUUUACUUAUUUUUGUAGUGAGUGUAUUGC
rnacentral:misc_RNA from 1 species